rnacentral:lncRNA from 1 species
CCAAAAGUUGGGAGUCUUAUGACUCUUAAGGCCCUGUUCCGGUUGCUAUGGCUACAUAACAAACCCCUCCAGACUGAGUGCUUUACAUCUUACUAUGCUCAUGGGCUCCACGAUCAGGAAUUUGGAAAGUGCACAGAAAAGAUGGGCUGUCUCUGCUCCCUGAUCCCUGGACCUCAGCUGGGAAAACUGAAAAACAGGGAAGGUUGGAAUCAUCUGACUCCCAUCUGGACUGAAUCUGGCAGCCAACAUGGAUGUUGGCUGGGACCUCGGUGAGGACUGCUGGCAGGAACACCUACACGUGGCCUUUUCCUUUGGCUGCUGGCCUUGCUCACAGAAUGGUGACCGGGUUCCAAGUGUGAACCCAGGUACAGGAAGAGACAGGAAACGGAAACUGCCAGUUUCCUUAAAAUCUGGGCCCACUAACUAGCAUGGCAUCAUUUCUAUCAUCUUCUAUUAGUCAAGCAUCACAAAGCCCAUAUUCAAGAGGAGACAACCUAGACCCAGCCUCUCAAUAAACAGUGUCAAAGGCUUUAGAGAGCAUGGUGUCAAGCUCCCAGAUUCUAAGGCUGUGACUCAACCCAGUGCACUGGGCUGCCUGGCUGUACACAGGUGUCCAUAUUGAUGCAAAGCCCCCAAGCUGCUCUUAUCCUCUUGUGAAGCACCCUUAGCUUGGUUAGUAUUUAAAUAAUUCAGGAAUCUUUCCCCUCCUGGAUUUUGAGAGACCUCCACAUCUUCUCCUCAGUUCUCCCACUCUGUUCCCUCAUCCCACAAAACAGGCUCCUUUCCCCAGAACUAUUCUACCUGAAUACAGGCGAAAGAUCGCUCAAUGAGUUAGCCUUCCCCCACACCCCAGCUCUGACUCCCCGAGGGCUACCUUUCCAAAAGGAGACUCAACCCAAUUUCUUAUAGCUUUCAUCUGGGAGGGGCAGGUGGGGGCGGGGAGGGAGAAUGAAAGGGGCGAGGUGGUCUUGGAUGAGUGACCUGAUUGCAGGGAGUCACGGCUUUUUCUGCACACAUCACUAGCUGGAUGGCUGUGUCUGACCUAGGAGACCACAGUGAGAACCUGUCACUAAAGCAGGUGCCCAUGAUGGGAAGAACUGGAAAUUUUAUCUAAAGAGAGAGGCUGAAGCAUUCCUUAAACCACAGAAGAAAACAGUGAAAGUACAAAAUGACAACAGCCGUCUUCAAAUACUGCUUGUCAGAGGGACAAGAGAGAACAGAGGUGCUGUGCUGCUCCACAAGGCAAAACAAGAGCAAACAAGUCUGUCUGAGUUUCAAGAGGCUGGCCCUGAGGCUGCACUGUGGCAGUCUAGGUGAGGAUACAACUAGAAGCCAGCAGUCUACAGGCUGGAAGAAGGCCCUCACCAGAACCCAACCCUUGGACUUCAGCCUCCAGAACUAUUCAUUCAGCUUUUCCAGACCAGGCAUCACCGAGCGGAGAGAGGGGAAACACCCUGGCUUCUCUUUGGCACAUCAGCCCCUAGUUCUUGAGAGAGAAGGGCAGGGUGGUCUACUCACCAUGUCUGUAUCCUGCCGUUCUUCAUUUGACUCAUCCUGGAUUUCUAACUCUUCUUCCUCGUCCUCUUCCAUAAGGCUGAGUCUGAUGUAGGGGCAAAGAGACUGGCUUUUCAAACUGUUCUUUGAGGACCCCUGAGAGUUUCUCAGACACCCGGGGUGGGGGAAGUGGGGAGCAGUAAGUACAGCAUAGUAGUUUCCCGAUUGUGCUGACAGGAAGUGCUCUGUGGCUAAAACAAGUCCAAAAAGCACCCACAGAGAGGCAAUGGGUGAGACAGGAAUCCCCUCACAGUGGGCGACAGAUCUGAAGUGAAGACAGGAGAUGAUGAGAAAAGCUCACCGCAUCAGCUGGUUGCCCAGGCCAGGACCUGAAGGGUUGUGUGGAGUCUGGAAAUAUUGUGGACCCAAGAACCUUGACCUCUCGGUGCCUGCGACGGGCUGACUGCUGGGAAUGAAGCAGGAUCAAUGAUGGGAUAAAAAUCAAGGGUAAGAAGAGGAUGUAAGGCAGCUGGUGUUAAUGGGGAGAAAAGCUCAGAGAGAUGCAUUUUAAAGCUAAACAAUGGAGAAGGGUUUGAGAAGAACCCAACAAUGUGGGAGUGCUACAGCAGGGAACCAUGAAACAGAAACAGCAAGAUGGAGGCAGCCAGACACCAAACUGGGAACUCAGACACCCAGAUUCCCUCCAUGGCCUCACCCCUGGGCAAAAUCCAACUCUGAGCCAUCUUCUUCCUCCAUCUCUUUCAACCCCCACAGGGGCUGCCUGCUCUUCACAGCUGUGGAGGUGAGGGUGGGCGUGGGCGGGAUGCUGUUCAGCUGCAGACUUUCUUCCUGGGACGAGGAGACGUCCUCUCUGUUAGGCUUGGCAGGCCCUGCCAAGCAGAUGCAUACAUUAACCACAGCCCAGGGCCUGCGACAGGUGUGCUCUCUUUCCAAGACCUGCCCAGGAUUUAGUAAGGGAAAGUCAAUCAGGAAGAGAAUGGAAAACUUAUACAGCUUCAUUCUGUUGCCCUCAAAUGGGCAUAGCCCUAUGUACUAAAUACAUAGCCCUAUGUACCAAAAAGUAAGGCUUAGAGAAUUGUAGCUAGGCCUUGUCCAAGAAGAACUUGCUACACAGCCUAGAAAACAAGAUGGAAAGAUAUAUAAAUAUACAUUUCACAGAUAAACUGUAACAGGUGAACAGGUGAACACAAACAUGAGGGAGGGUUGGAGUCUCUAAGAUUGAGAGGUCUGAGUUAGCCAAUGAAGACAUCUGAGAUCCUAUCCAAGAUUUCUGUGGUCAGAAAAAGCUGUAAAUGGCAAUAGAGUUUUGGUACCAGAGGCUAGAGUGGACAAAUGAGGGCCAGGGAGGAACCGGAAAAUGGGAGACAGGAUUUUCUAAAAGCUAGAAAAAAAUGAAGUGAUUGCAAUGCCAGUAUAACUGAUAUGAUAUGAAGGGGGACUUAUCUCCUGCAGAGAUUGGAGAAGGUAGAGGAGGAGAAAGAAUCCAAAGAUUCUCACUGCCUGAGAAAACCCAGGCAAUACUAUUUUAAAGCAUCAGUCAAAUUGACAUUAACAUCUGUUAACUGUAAACAGUCACACUCCCAUUACCCCCCUUCUCCACUAAAAACAAUAAUCCCAAAGUGAGCGCUCAGCCUAUGGGUUUAAGCAGAGGGCUACAGAAAACAGGGAAGAGACAUACCCCUGGGCUUGGAUUCCCAGAGAGGAAACCUUGGGGCCCCAGAUGUGUCCUCCUGAUCUCCCUGAGCUAUUAAUGGUGUGAUGCCCGAGGGCUGGGCCCUUGAGUCUCUCCUCUUCUCCAUCUUCACUGGCUUCCCCAGCCACUCACGUUCAUGUCCUUAAAUAUCACCUAUACUCUGCCACAUCCCAAAGGGAUCUCAAGCCUUCAGCUCUCCCCUGAACUCCAUCUUAACAGCCCCCAUGGUUUGUUCAACAUCUCCACCUGUAAUCCUGUGGCCAACACCAAUGCCCCAACCUUCCCCCACAGCUAUCUUCACUCUCUGCCUUCCCCAUCUCAGAUACUGUCAACUCCAUCCUUCUGUCAGGCCAAAAUCCUUGGAGCCAUCCUCAACUGCUCUUUUUGUCUUACAUCCCACAUCCAGUUUGUCAGAAAAGCCUAUUAGAGAUACCUUGAAAAUGCACCCAGAAUCUGGCCGUUUCUCGGCACCUCCACCAUUGCCCCCGGCCUAAGAAGCUCUCUUAUCUUGCAUCUUGGGCUGGACUCCUACAACAGCCACAACCUCCCUGCUGGUCUCCCAGCUUCUAGCCUUCCCCCAUCUCCUGUCGUUUUCGACACAGCAGCCAGAAGGAUCCUUUAAAAACAGAGGUUGAUCCUGUCGUUCCUCAAAAUCCUCCAAUGGUUUUCCUACUGCACUCAGAGUAAAAGCCAGUCUCUGCCUUAGAUGCUCUGGGAUCCUGUACCCUCUUUGGUCUCAUGUCCUACAAUCUGCAUUCUGGCCAUAAUGGUCUUCUCUGCUGUUCCUUGAACAUUCCAGGAACAUUCCCCCCAUCCCCUCGUGGCCUCAGGACUGGCUGCUUCCUUUGGUAUGCUAUUCUGAUACACACUAAGCACCCUCCCUCACCUGUUAUAAAAAAUUCGCUGGGAGGCCAAUAGGCUGAAAUGGCUCCUGCACUUUGGGUUCCUAAGUCAGCAAACUGAAACUCAACUCAGAGUGAAAGUGUUGUGUGUAACCUAGGAGCAGGAAACUUCAGCUUAACCAGUCAGAAACUACCGACUAACCUCUAACAAGAGAUUUAUGGUCAGUUAACCUCUAAAUAUGAACUUUCCACUCUAACCAAUCAAAUAGUUUCUUUGUCUUGCUCCCAGAGACACCUUGUAAGUGUCCCCUCUGGUUUCCUCGGUGGUGGCGCCCUGAACUGCUGGCGGUCUGCCACUGCCUGAUUGAUAAAAUUGCUGAAU